rnacentral:rRNA from 6 species
GCAUAUCAAUAAGCGGAGGAAAAGAAACCAACAGGGAUUGCCCCAGUAACGGCGAGUGAAGCGGCAAGAGCUCAAAUUUGAAAGCUGGCUCCUUCGGGGUCCGCAUUGUAAUUUGCAGAGGAUGCUUCGGGAGCGGUCCCCAUCUAAGUGCCCUGGAACGGGACGUCAUAGAGGGUGAGAAUCCCGUAUGGGAUGGGGUGUCCGCGCCCGUGUGAAGCUCCUUCGACGAGUCGAGUUGUUUGGGAAUGCAGCUCUAAAUGGGUGGUAAAUUUCAUCUAAAGCUAAAUAUUGGCCGGAGACCGAUAGCGCACAAGUAGAGUGAUCGAAAGAUGAAAAGCACUUUGAAAAGAGAGUUAAAAAGCACGUGAAAUUGUUGAAAGGGAAGCGCUUGCGACCAGACUCGCUCGCGGGGUUCAGCCGGCAUUCGUGCCGGUGUAUUUCCCCGCGGGCGGGCCAGCGUCGGUUUGGGCGGUCGGUCAAAGGCCCUCGGAAGGUAACGCCCCUAGGGGCGUCUUAUAGCCGAGGGUGCAAUGCGACCUGCCUAGACCGAGGAACGCGCUUCGGCUCGGACGCUGGCAUAAUGGUCGUAAGCGACCCGUCUUGAAACACGGACC